rnacentral:rRNA from 1 species
CCUACGGGUGGCUGCAGUGGGGAAUAUUGCACAAUGGGCGCAAGCCUGAUGCAGCCAUGCCGCGUGUGUGAAGAAGGCCUUCGGGUUGUAAAGCACUUUCAGCGGGGAGGAAGGCGUUAAGGUUAAUAACCUUGGCGAUUGACGUUACCCGCAGAAGAAGCACCGGCUAACUCCGUGCCAGCAGCCGCGGUAAUACGGAGGGUGCAAGCGUUAAUCGGAAUUACUGGGCGUAAAGCGCACGCAGGCGGUCUGUCAAGUCGGAUGUGAAAUCCCCGGGCUCAACCUGGGAACUGCAUUCGAAACUGGCAGGCUAGAGUCUUGUAGAGGGGGGUAGAAUUCCAGGUGUAGCGGUGAAAUGCGUAGAGAUCUGGAGGAAUACCGGUGGCGAGGGCGGCCCCCUGGACAAAGACUGACGCUCAGGUGCGAAAGCGUGGGGAGCAAACAGGAUUAGAUACCCCAGUAGUC